rnacentral:rRNA from 1 species
ACUUAAAGGAAAUUGAGGGGGGGCGGCACAACCCGUGGGGCCUCGGGUUUAUUUGAUCAACGCCGGACAUCUCACCAGGAGCGACAGCUGUAUGAUUACCAGGCUGAUGACCUUGUUUGACUAGCUGAGAGGAGGUGCAUGGCCGCCGUCAGCUCGUACCGUGAGGCGUCCUGUUAAGUCAGGCAACGAGCGAGACCCAA